GUAAAGAAUCUUCCACAAUGGACGAAAGUCUGAUGGAGCAAUACCGCGUGAACGAUGAAUGUCGAAAGAUUGUAAAGUUCUUUUCUGGGGAAAGAAUUAUGACGGUACCCCAGGAAUAAGCACCGGCUAACUCCGUGCCAGCAGCCGCGGUAAUACGGAGGGUGCAAGCGUUACCCGGAAUCAUUGGGCGUAAAGCGUCCGCAGGCGGUUUUUUAAGUUGGUUAUUAAAUCUUGAAGCCCAACUUCAAGGCUGUAACCAAAACUAAUUAACUUGAGACUUCCAGAGGCAUGUGGAAUUCUGUGUGUAGGGGUAAAAUCCGUAGAUACACAGAAGAACACCAAAAGCGAAGGCAGCAUGCUGGGGAAGUUCUGACGCUCAUGGACGAAAGCGUGGGGAGCGAACGGGAUUAGAAACCCUAGUAGUCC
rnacentral:rRNA from 1 species